rnacentral:rRNA from 1 species
AAGGUCUUCGGAUUGUAAAGCACUUUAAGUUGGGAGGAAGGGCAGUAAGUUAAUACCUUGCUGUUUUGACGUUACCGACAGAAUAAGCACCGGCUAACUCUGUGCCAGCAGCCGCGGUAAUACAGAGGGUGCAAGCGUUAAUCGGAAUUACUGGGCGUAAAGCGCGCGUAGGUGGUUCGUUAAGUUGGAUGUGAAAGCCCCGGGCUCAACCUGGGAACU